GCAAGUCGAGCGCAUCCUUCGGGAUGAGCGGCGGACGGGUUAGUAACGCGUGGGAACGUGCCCUUCUCUAAGGAAUAGCCUCUGGAAACGGAGAGUAAUACCUUAUACGCCCUUCGGGGGAAAGAUUUAUCGGAGAAGGAUCGGCCCGCGUUAGACUAGAUAGUUGGUGGGGUAACGGCCUACCAAGUCUACGAUCUAUAGCUGGUUUUAGAGGAUGAUCAGCAACACUGGGACUGAGACACGGCCCAGACUCCUACGGGAGGCAGCAGUAGGGAAUCUUGGACAAUGGGCGCAAGCCUGAUCCAGCCAUGCCGCGUGAGUGAAGAAGGCCUUAGGGUCGUAAAGCUCUUUCGCCUGUGAUGAUAAUGACAGUAGCAGGUAAAGAAACCCCGGCUAACUCCGUGCCAGCAGCCGCGGUAAUACGGAGGGGGUUAGCGUUGUUCGGAAUUACUGGGCGUAAAGCGCGCGUAGGCGGAUUGGAAAGUUGGGGGUGAAAUCCCAGGGCUCAACCCUGGAACUGCCUCCAAAACUCCCAGUCUAGAGUUCGAGAGAGGUGAGUGGAAUUCCAAGUGUAGAGGUGAAAUUCGUAGAUAUUUGGAGGAACACCAGUGGCGAAGGCGGCUCACUGGCUCGAUACUGACGCUGAGGUG
rnacentral:rRNA from 1 species